rnacentral:rRNA from 1 species
UACGUAGGGCGCAAGCGUUGUCCGGAAUUAUUGGGCGUAAAGAGCUCGUAGGCGGUUUGUCGCGUCUGCUGUGAAAACCUAAGGCUCAACCUUGGGCUUGCAGUGGGUACGGGCAGACUAGAGUGCGGUAGGGGUGACUGGAAUUCCCGGUGUAGAGGUGAAAUUCGUAGAUAUCGGGAGGAACACCAGUGGCGAAGGCGGCGAUCUGGGAAGAUACUGACGCUGAGGCACGAAAGCGUGGGGAGCAAACAGG